CGUGGCAGCGCUGCCUUCAGCAGCAGUGUGGGCUGAAGCUGGAAAAAAAAAAAAACCGCUCAUUUAGAAACAAUAACAUUUUUCAAAGCAAUAACAUUUUCGCAUGACACAAGAGCAGCUGGAAGCAGCAGUGCGUCUGAUCCCACCCGUGUUUUCCAGCCCCUGCUCUGGAGUGAGGCACAGCAGGUAACCGCAGACCUGCCCUGUGGAAUAAUUUCACUGUGAGUGGCUGUGCCUUCCCUGGGGUUUGUGGAACGCUUCAUCUGCCAGAAAAAAAAAGAAGCUGGAAGCUUUGUUUGGUUUCACAAAUUUUAAAUACACAGAGGAGGCACGGAAGAGCUGUUCAGUAUCUUCUCCCACGACCCCGUUUCUCCAGGGUUCUACUCCCUAUACGCAGUCACAAAUGUUCACUAAUAAGAGACAAGUGAAAAACAGCUCUGUUAAGUGUAUCUCCCCAGAUAAUGGCUGUAUGGGAAUAUCCAAAAUGUGCUUAAACUCCCAUACACUCAGGGAUGCACUGUUUGAGGGCUGCUUCUUCCAAGCCAGUGAAGGAAAUCUCCCCAGUUUGCCCACUGAAGUUACUGCCACUGCUUGUCCUGGUGACAAGCAGUGGUGACUCCAUUGAAGUGCUGCCUGCAUCACCAAUUUUGCACGGUGUGGGCAUGGGAGGAGGCUGGAAGGUUGCUGCUAUGGGGAUAUAUUGAAACAGAAGUUCCCAUAAGUGCAAAAUACAGUCCUUUCUUCACAGCUUGAGACAGAAGGUCAGCUACAGCUGGCACAGGCUGUGCAUGGUAAAUAACAAAGUACACUGAAGAUGUUGAACUGUAUCAAAUUCCUGGUUUUUUUGAACUGUGUUGUUCCAGGUCAUUGCAGUUUAACUCUUAGGGUGCUGCUGCCUUUCCAGCCACAAGCCCAGCUACUCUUGAGGAGGUUGAAAACAGUCUUGGAGCCUGCUAAUAACUUUAAUGAGCUGCUCAGGAAGACAACAGGGAUUUGUGCAAUAGGUCACUGUUUCCAGUCCAUGACAGGUCAUGCCACAACCAGCUAAUGGCUGCUAAGUGGUCUGUGUGAAAUUAGUUUAGUGGGUCUCCAGCCAGAAGCCAGUUGACAGAUGCCCAAAAAUCAGUUCUCCAGUUGGCUUCCUCAUUGGCAGUCAUGGCAGGUUGGUCAAGGCCAUGCAAAUUCAGCAUUUCCCCGGGGCCAGGAACAGAGACAAGCUGGCUUCUGUUUUUCCUGCUGCUGAGAGAAAUGACUGAGUAGAGAGAGCCUGCAGAAUUGAAUUGUUGCCACAUGCAUACCAAAACCCUUGUAAUUUUAAAAUACAGGUAAAAGCUGGAUGGUGGUGCAGCAUUAUUGUGCUGAGUAGCACAGGCCAGCUCAGUGUCCAGCAGCCACAGCAGUGUGUUCAGAAGCCACUGAAGUGUGACAGCCAGCAGAAAAGAAAAAUAAUAGCAGUAUGGAGAUUUUACACUCCAGAUUCAGGACUGUCUUGAAACGUGCUGGCACGAGACCUUGAUACAGGCUGAACUCCAAGGCACAGCUGAUGCAGUGUUCACAUUUUCUGGGAGAUGAGCUGCUCUCACGGCCAGGUGCCAUCCCCAGUGCUGUGACAACACAAACUCAUUGCUCAUCUCUGCUGCUUGAGCAGCAAGUCACAGCCACAGUUGUUCACGGCUGGUCUUUAAACUGUCAAGGAGAAAGCAAGGCUUCCUUAGAUGGGCCUGAAAGUCCCUGAACAAUCUCUGCAGGAUGGAUUUUGCCACUUCAUUUCACCUCGUCCAAUCCCAGUGUUUGUUCUGGCGGUCAAGCUCAAGAUCCUGCAUGCAAUUUUAAACAUCUGCAGAAGUGAAACACAAGCCUUGCAAGCUGAAGAGGUGUUGAAGAUCUCUAAAUCUGGAAGCAGCACACAAUUGUAAAAUUCGCCCCUGAAACCUCUGCUGAUCCAGCCAGACUUUGCAGCAAUAGUGUAGGAAAUGGGUUGGCUAAUUCAAAGAGGUUCAUGAAUUUUCAAUGAAAUCCACCUAAAAUCUUCCUGGGUAUUGUGAUAAACUCAGCACAGUAAAGUUCACUUUCAGUCUCCAGAAAAAUUGGACUCACAAAUGCUGAGAUGCCAUAAUAGCUUGAUCUUACAGUGUUUUUUAGCACCUAUUUGAACAUUCCCCGUGAAUCUCACUCAAAAGUCUGC